AAACACGUGAUCUCCAAAGAAGGCGGAAAUAGGCUGGCUCUACCUCCGCAUGCAGAAUUGAGCUCCACGACAAGAUGCACGUCUCAAUCUUUGAUCUCAACUCAAAGAUUCCAUUGGAAGAAUGCAACACAUGCUGUAAUAAACUGUUCCACUGCCCCAUUUGUCCCAACUUCGACCCCACAGUGAAGGAAAGGAUUGAGAAACACAUGAACCACCACAUUAGUCAUGGUUUGCCUUACAAAGACAAAGUUUUACUCCGAUGCAGCCUUCAUUGUAGGCCACAGGGGCAUUUCCACUGCCCCAUCUGUUCUAGAACAGUCAUGCGCCGUUUGGAUAUGAAGAGGCAUUUACUGUUAUGUGAGGGAUUUAUGGAAAAAGAUCCAAGCCCAGAGCCAUGUCUGCCACCCACCUCACUCCCUAAUGACCAUCUUAUUAAGCUACUUACUUCGCCGUCUGUGAAACCUCUACUGCAAGUCAUCCCCUCGUCCAAGAAGCCGCUCCUGCAAGGUGCGCUAUCUUCUGUGGAGCCUCUCCCGCCUGAUGCUGCACCCACUGUGAAGCCUUUUCUGCCAGACAUGGCACCUGGUCCCGUUUCUGAUCCGCAACCCUGUACAUCUUCGAACGAACAUUCCUAUUCUCAAGCCUCUGGGCCUGAUAUAACCACGGCUUAUGGAAAUGCAGUGAAAUGCCCUCACUGUAACAAUAACAUUUACUUGCUUAUGUUCAACAAACCUCCCACUUUUAACAUAAAUAACUGAAAGUUGCUUGAUGAAAGUUCAUUAAAUAGUGCCGUAAAAAUCAGUGGAGAGAUGGUAUGGUAUGGGUUGGUCUGGAAUUAGGUUUUUUUCUGAGAGAAAACAGAUGAAUGAAUGAUAAGCAGAUGACCAGUGGUCAUCCACUGAGAGGCAGGGUCUUUAGGUCAGGGUAGUCUUUGACCCAACAUACAUUAAUCAUUGGAAUUGUUAGUUUGUCUUAUUAUUUUUGUUUGGUUCUUGUACAUUAAAGGUAAAACACUGACAUUUUUUACAUAUUUCUUAAAUUGUUUUUGAGUUCAGCUGCAACCUGGACUGUGUGUACAAACAAAAUCUAAAAACACCACUACCAAUGUUUCUACAUGUCUUAAAUAAAAUCCAAAAAGCUUAGAAUA